rnacentral:rRNA from 1 species
UUAGGGAAUUUUCACAAUGGGCGCAAGCCUGAUGGAGUGACGCCGCGUGCAGGAAGACGCCUUUCGGGGUGUAAACUGCUUUUCCCAGGGACGAGAACGGACGGUACCUGGGGAAGAAGCCUCGGCUAACUACGUGCCAGCAGCCGCGGUAAUACGUAGGAGGCGAGCGUUGUCCGGAAUUACUGGGCGUAAAGAGCGCGUAGGCGGCCCGGCGCGUAGGUGGUGAAAGCCCCCGGCUUACCUGGGGGAGGUCUGCCUAAACGGUCGGGCUCGGAGGGCGGUAGGGGCUGGCGGAAUGCCCGGAGUAACGGUGAAAUGUGUAGAGAUCGGGCAGAACACCGGUGGCGAAGGCGGUCAGCUGGGCCGCACCUGACGCUGAGGCGCGAAAGCCAGGGGAGCGAACGGAAUUAGAUACCCCCGUAGUCC